rnacentral:rRNA from 1 species
GACGAACGCUGGCGGCGUGCUUAACACAUGCAAGUCGAACGGAAAGGCCCUGCUUUUGUGGGGUGCUCGAGUGGCGAACGGGUGAGUAACACGUGAGUAACCUGCCCUUGACUUUGGGAUAACUUCAGGAAACUGGGGCUAAUACCGGAUAGGAGCUCCUGCUGCAUGGUGGGGGUUGGAAAGUUUCGGCGGUUGGGGAUGGGCUCGCGGCUUAUCAGCUUGUUGGUGGGGUAGUGGCUUACCAAGGCUUUGACGGGUAGCCGGCCUGAGAGGGUGACCGGCCACAUUGGGACUGAGAUACGGCCUAGACUCCUACGGGAGGCAGCAGUGGGGAAUAUUGCACAAUGGGCGGAAGCCUGAUGCAGCAACGCCGCGUGCGGGAUGACGGCCUUCGGGUUGUAAACCGCUUUCGCCUGUGACGAAGCGUGAGUGACGGUAAUGGGUAAAGAAGCACCGGCUAACUACGUG